rnacentral:lncRNA from 1 species
UGCAGUAACAUCAAUUUUCUGGUUAAUCAUAGACCAUAACCAACAUAGCAACAAGACCAUUGUUUUGCUAACAUUGCAACAAGUCACAUGCACCGAUUCUGUCCUCCAUAUGUACCAAUUUAGAGGUACAAAAAACACUGAAACAAGCUCUCAACCAAAGAUAACAACACUUGACUACUGUAAAAUCAACACCUUUUAGCCUCACGCAAAACCCUUUUUUGCCUUGAGCAUUGAGCACUCUGGGUACUCCAUUUUUGCUAGAUGACCAGGCCUCAUCUCACCAUAGUGCAAUAUGGCACCCGACUCGAUCCCAGCGUUGAGUCUCACUCAGGGAAAUCCUCUGCCAUUCAGUCCAGGGGUACCUGACAAGCUUCUUCUCCUUGCAACUGCGACACUUCAACCCGCUAUACAGGAAGACAUCCUCUAGAUUGACAGCCGCCACCAGAACACGCCUCACAUAACUCACAAAGCAAUCUUCAGAUUCAAAGCCAAAAAUGACAAGUGUUGGAAACCUGCUGCGACCAAGUCCCACUCUACACCCUUGUUCUCACUAUAUGAUUCUUCUUUCCUCUUCUCCUUGUCCAUUUCCAUAUUACACACAUGAUCCCAUACCUGCAUGCUAGCAAAAAGGUCCAAGAUAAAAAUAAUUUGUCAAUAGAGCAGCCAUCUUUUGUAUCUAUCUGGUGAAAGAAUCUUCUAAAACCUAACAUUAAGCCCAUGUGGCUAAAAAGAGAUCUGAAGGUAUCGUGCACAAACUGAUUCGUAAUAAAGCAAUAAUAUACUUAUACCCUCAGAAAAAGUCAGUGUUUCUUCUUCUAAACAUAAUAGUAAUACAGUUGCUGAGGUAACAAUUUAACAAUACAGUUCAUGCGGUCAAAAUAAAAACUAAAACAAGCUCACAACCAAAGAUAACAACUCUUGUAACACACCUCACACCUGUAAAAUCAACACCUUUUUGCCUCUUUUUCCUCGAGCAGUGAGCACUCUGGGUACUCCAUUUUUGCUACAUGACCAGGCCUCAUCUC